rnacentral:lncRNA from 1 species
GACCUGACUGACAGUGGGUUUAGCUGUUUGGUGGCCUCCCUGCCUUGGGCUCAUGAGCACUUGAUCAGAAGUCCAGGUUAGUAUGCGAAGCCAGGAGUGCUAUUAUUACUGUGUUAGCGACAGCUGCAUUAACUACUCAGAAAAAUUACUGCCUUUAAGAAGGAAACAAAACAAAACCCUCGAGCUAUGUUUGUAUCCAUAACUGACAUCCGGAUCGCGCCUCUGUGUGCUGCAUUGUUUGGAAAACUGCAAUACAAGCUGGCAGAAGAACUCCUCAUUCUGAUGAUGCACUUUUAUGUAUUUUUUUUUAAUUAGAAAGUAGAACUAAUUUUAGAUUUUCAGCUUAAUGGAUUUUCAAUUUUUUUUCCCCAAAGAAUUUUCUUUACAAUUAGUCUUUAAAUUGGAUACGUUGUGCAUUGGUGUACCAUUCUGUCCCAGAAAGGGCAGGAGGACACCGAGCUCAGCCCAGUCCUUACGGGCAGCUGUAGCCCUUAGGGUGAAUUGUCAAUGCUAAGGUAUACUUUGGACACUGAAAGAAGAAUUAGGCGAUACUUGGUUUUGAUGAGGUUAUGAUUAAGCAGUAUAUAUUCCUUUUAUUUAUAGAGUUGUUUUAUAGUGCAUACAAAUCAGCAUUCGGCCAACAAGUGUGGUCUUUGAGCUUUCGCAAGCUCUGUUCUUUUGCCUUCAGUCUGUUAGUCUUCAGAAAGACAGUGCUCCCCCACCCCCUUUUAUUUUAUUUUUUGCCUUUCUUUUUUCCCCUUUGCUUGUAUGCACAAGGUAAGGCUUAUUUCACAGAAACCAGAAUGCCAGUAUUUUCCUAAGCCAUGACAUGUAACCUUGACCCUGUGGCUGCGUGACACAGACACUAACUUUGGUCCCAUGGCUAGAACUUGAGAGUGACUGAAGCCAUACCUGUGAAGCAUCCCCGGAGGCGGCCCUUUGAUCUCUGCGAGGACUUUUGUACACUCCACACAACUCCUGUUCCUGUCUUAGACAAAUUGAUUUUCAUUUUUAAAAGUGGGCAAAAGGCAUUUUCUUCCAGAUUUUUAAACUAAUUUUUAUUUUUAACCAGUUUAUCAAAAUUUGUCAGUGAAUUUUACAUACAAAAACAUUUUAAAAAUCAUUUCUAGUAAGCACUUGACAUUUAGUCAGCUUUCCACUUUUGAAUUUUUUUUUUUGUUCUAUCAAAAAUUAGAAAUCUUCUUUAAAGACAAUGAUUUCUCAUAAUUAAGUAGCAGAAUUCUCGUCCAUCUUGUGACAUCUGACGGGUGCCAGAUGUUGAUAAAGUUACUCUUUGUUAAUCUGGGUAAAACAGACCUGUAGCAGCAGAUCUUUGUAUGAGCAUGGUUUUUGAAUCCUUCAUUUCGCUGCAUUCUAUCACACGUUUGUGCAUUUUCAUGUUACACUGCAAUUACUUAAACUCUCCCCUGUCCUUCCAAAUUAAUUUCCAAAGUUGGAGUAUAGUCUUUCCCCUGAAGCUAUGCAUUAAUUAAGGCUUUCUUUACCACUUACAUUGUUUAUAUACAGUGUUCUACUCUCCACCUCUUGCUCUGCAGUCACCUUGCCCUUCCUCCCACCAUUUGAGUAAAGAAGACGGUCCGCUAACAGGUGACAUGUACUGGUGUCUGUGUGUGUAGCUUCAGAGUUAGAUUGACAUCACCAGGCACAGAUUUAGUCUUGUCGUUUUGUUUACACAUUGGGGAAAAAUUCAGUUUAAUAAACGUUCCAUGUAACUGCAUCCAAGUUUCACCAGGCUGGAGACGUGGAUCUUUUCUGUGUAGUGACUUUUUACUUCUAGUUUCCAUAACCUGGAGAUCAGACUGUUGCUUUCGCA